rnacentral:rRNA from 1 species
AUUGAACGCUGGCGGCAUGCCUUACACAUGCAAGUCGAACGGCAGCACGGGUGCUUGCACCUGGUGGCGAGUGGCGAACGGGUGAGUAAUAUAUCGGAACAUACCCUAGAGUGGGGGAUAACGUAGCGAAAGUUACGCUAAUACCGCAUACGAACUAAGGUUGAAAGUGGGGGAUCGCAAGACCUCAUGCUCAUGGAGUGGCCGAUAUCUGAUUAGCUAGUUGGUGAGGUAAAGGCUCACCAAGGCGACGAUCAGUAGCUGGUUUGAGAGAACGACCAGCCACACUGGAACUGAGACACGGUCCAGACUCCUACGGGAGGCAGCAGUGGGGAAUUUUGGACAAUGGGGGCAACCCUGAUCCAGCAAUGCCGCGUGAGUGAAGAAG